UGAGUACGAGAUGCUACGGCAUCGAAGCAGUCUAUGUCAUACUUCCAAGAAAAGCUUGCACUGUCAUAAACAAAGAAUGCCUGUACCAUAACCGACACAGGUGGGUAGGUAGAGUAUACUAAGGGGCGCGAGAUAACUCUCUCUAAGGAACUCGGCAAAAUGACUCCGUAACUUCGGGAGAAGGAGUGCCUUAUUUCUAAGGUUGCAAUAACAAGAUCCAAGCAACUGUUUACCAAAAACACAGGUCUCCGCUAAGUCGUAAGACGAUGUAUGGGGGCUGACGCCUGCCCAGUGCCAGAAGGUUAAAGAAGUUGGUUAGCAUUAGCGAAGCUGAUAACUGAAGCCCUGGUGAACGGCGGCCGUAACAAUAACGGUCCUAAGGUAGCGAAAUUCCUUGUCGGGUAAGUUCCGACCCGCACGAAAGGCGUAAUGAUUUGGAUACUGUCUCGGAGAGGGGCUCGGUGAAAUAGACUUGUCUGUGAAGAUGCGGACUACCUGCACCUAGACGGAAAGACCCUAUGAAGCUUUACUGUAACUUGAGAUUGAAAUUGGACUUUAUUUGCGCAGUAUAGGUGGGAGGCGUUGAGAAUAAUCUUGCGGGAUUGUUGGAGCCAUCAGUGAGAUACCACUCUUGUAAUGUUAGAUUUCUAACUUUGUAUCAUUAUCUGGUCAAAGAACAGUUUCAGGCGGGCAGUUUGACUGGGGCGGUCGCCUCCCAAAGGGUAACGGAGGCGCACAAAGGUUUCCUCUGAACGGGUAGAAAUCGUAUCUAGAGUGUAAAGGCAUAAGGAAGCUUGACUGUGAGACCUACAAGUCGAGCAGGGACGAAAGUCGGUCUUAGUGAUCUGACGGUGCUGAGUGGAAAGGCCGUCACUCAACGGAUAAAAGUUACUCUAAGGAUAACAGGCUGAUCUCCCCCAAGAGUUCACAUCGACGGGGAGGUUUGGCACCUCGAUGUCGGCUCAUCGCAUCCUGGGGCGGUAGUCCGUCCCAAGGGUUGGGCUGUUCGCCCAUGAAAGCGGUACGCGAGCUGGGUUCAGAACGUCGUGAGACAGUUCGGUCCAUAUCCGGUGUAGGCGUUAGAAUAUUGAGAGGAGCCUUCUCUAGUACGAGAGGACCGAGAAGGACAUACCACUGGUGUACCAGUUAUCGUGCCAACGGUAAACGCUGGGUAGCUAUGUAUGGAGUGGAUAACCGCUGAAAGCAUCUAAGUGGGAAGCCCACCUCAAGAUAAGUAUUCUC
rnacentral:rRNA from 1 species